UACGUAGGGAGCAAGCGUUGUCCGGAAUCAUUGGGCGUAAAGCGCGCGUAGGUGGCCCGGUAAGUCCGCUCUGAAAGUCAAAGGCUCAACCUUUGAAAGCGGGUGGAUACUGCCAGGCUAGAGUCCGGAAGAGGCGAGUGGAAUUCCUGGUGUAGCGGUGGAAUGCGCAGAUAUCAGGAGGAACACCAACGGCGAAGGCAGCUCGCUGGGACGGUACUGACACUGAGGCGCGAAAUCGUGGGGAGCGAACAGG
rnacentral:rRNA from 1 species